UAGUGCUUAUGCUAAGGUGCAUCUAGUGCAGAUAGUGAAGUAGACUAGCACCUACUGCCCUAAGUGCCCCUUCUGGCAUAAGGAGCU
ensembl:miRNA MIR18A microRNA 18a